rnacentral:rRNA from 1 species
CCUACGGGGGGCAGCAGUGGGGAAUAUUGGACAAUGGGGGGAACCCUGAUCCAGCCAUGCCGCGUGUGUGAAGAAGGCCCUCGGGUUGUAAAGCACUUUCAGUGAGGAAGAACGCUUGGUGGUUAAUACCCAUCAGGAAAGACAUCACUCACAGAAGAAGCACCGGCUAACUCCGUGCCAGCAGCCGCGGUAAUACGGAGGGUGCGAGCGUUAAUCGGAAUUACUGGGCGUAAAGCGCGCGUAGGUGGCUUGAUAAGCCGGUUGUGAAAGCCCCGGGCUCAACCUGGGAACGGCAUCCGGAACUGUCAAGCUAGAGUGCAGGAGAGGAAGGUAGAAUUCCCGGUGUAGCGGUGAAAUGCGUAGAGAUCGGGAGGAAUACCAGUGGCGAAGGCGGCCUUCUGGACUGACACUGACACUGAGGUGCGAAAGCGUGGGUAGCAAACAGGAUUAGAUACCCUGGUAGUC